GCGCCCGUAGCUCAACGGAUAGAGCAUCAGUCUUCGGAACUGAGGGUUCCAGCGACCGAGAUACAGCGUUCGGAAUUACGACAGGGUAUUGAGAUGAGCAGCCGCCUUGUAAGCGGCCGGUCGUCAGUUCAAAUCUGGCCAGGGGAU
rnacentral:tRNA from 1 species